rnacentral:antisense_RNA from 1 species
CUUGAUGGAGCCCAGCAGCAGCGGCCGUUCGGCGGACUUCUCCUUGCCGUACGUGGCGAGCAGCGCCUGCGCCUC